GUGAGGUAGCUCAGGUGGUUAGAGCGGCGGACUCAUAACCCGCAGGUCGGUGGUUCAAUUCCACCCCUCACC
rnacentral:tRNA from 1 species